rnacentral:lncRNA from 1 species
GUGCAGCACCCUCCAGGAGAUUUAUCGCACAAUCCCCCGGACGAUGGGGUGGUAAUUGAGUCGCCUUCCUUUUACAGAAGGCGAUUGCCAAAUCGGCAUAUUUGGGAGGAAUGUGCAUGGUGGAAACCUGGUUUGGACUUUCCACCGUAGUGGCACCUAAGGAAACACCUAAACACCUCCCUGAACACUGACAGGACCAUCCCUUGAGAACCCUCUGUUGCCACGAAAUAAUAGGAUCAUGAGAAGCCAACCAGGGAAGCCCCAACACAACGGGAAACGCAGGAGCGUCAAUCAGAAAAAGACUAAUACUCUCUUCAUGACUCUCCUGCGUCACCAUAGUAAUGGGAACUGUGACCUCCCUAAUCAGCCCAGACCCCAAAGGACGACUAUCUAGGGCAUGUAUAGGGAAGGGAACAUCAACGGGAACAGUAGGAAUCCCUAAUCUAUUGGCCAAAGACCGAUCAAUAAAGUUCCCAGCUGCGCCUGAAUCUACUAGCGCCUUAUGCUGGGAAUGCGGGGAAAACCCCGGAAAUCUUAUAGAUAACCACAUGUGAGCAACAGGGGGGUCUGGGUGAGUCGUGUGCCUACUCACCUGAGAUGAACCACCAGUGUUCCGCCUACCACCUCGACUACCUGGAAAACCUCCCCAGCACCGACCAGCAGUGUGUCCUCUGCGGUCACCUCUGGUGCAUGGAACGGUUUCCCCUCCGGUCUCCCUAGUACCAGCCCCGCCCAACUCCAUUGGUGUUGGGUCUAAGGGACUGGAGGAUGGAACCAACGGACCCCGAUCCGGACAUCUGCGGGAGGCCAGCAGCUGGUCCAGGUGGAGGGUGGUGUCCCUACAGGCUAGCUCCCUACGAACGUCCUCUCGCAAACCACACCUGUAGUGAUCGAUCAGGGCCCGCUCAUUCCAUCCUGCACCAGCCGCCAGAGUUCUAAAAUCCAGUGCAAACUCCCGAGCGCUCCUCAUAUCCUGUCUUAAAUGGAACAAGCGCUCUCCCUACGCUUUUCCUUCUGGUGGAUGAUCAAAUACUGCCCGAAAGCGGCGGGAGAAGUCCUCGUAGUUAUCCCGAGUCGGGUCUUCCACUUCCCAGAUGGCGUUGGCCCACUCUAGGGCUUUACCAGUCAAACAGGAGAUGAGGGCGCUCACUCUCUCGCGUCCCGAGGGCGGCGGCUGGACAGCCGCCAGGUAGAGCUCCAGCUGGAGUAGGAACCCCUGACACCUGGCAGCUGCUCCGUCAUACACUCCCGGGAGCGAGAGCCGAAUCCCAACGGAUCUAGACGGAGGUUGGAUAUGAUCCAGAGGUGUGCCGGGCGGUGGUGUGGCUGGGUCGACGGGACAUCCUUUCCUCUCCACUCUCUCCAUGGUCAGCAGCACGCAAUCCAUGGCAGUCAUAAGAUUCUGGAUCAUAUUCGCCUGCUGCUGAACGCGCUCUUCUAUAUGAAUAGGAGAACUGGCUGCUCCUGCUGACUCCAUUGCGUGGUCGGUGAUUCUGUAAUGAUUUUCUUAGAGAAGUGGAGGAGUCAGGCGCAGGACACAGGGAUAAAGGUAAAAAAACGUGUUUACUAAAAUUAUCAAUAAAUCUUCUCAUCGAAAAAUACAUAGUUUGGAGAAACACCUCCAACUACACAAAACAGACAAACAAUCACCGACAAGACAAACAGGAAAUGCAGAGGUUUAAAUAAUGAACAUAAUUAGGGAAAAUCAAAAACAGGUGUACACAAUAAAGACAAAACCAAACGAACAGUGAAACAUCGAUCGGUGGCAACUAGUAAGCCGGUGACGUCGACCGCCGAACGCCGCCCGAACAUCCGAAUGUUAAUUCAAUCUGAAGCAUUGCACUUGUCUCUGUCUGUCUUGCCUGGCUCUG